rnacentral:SRP_RNA from 1 species
UCGGUCCCCUCGCAACUCAGCAUGUGUGAACCCCGUCAGGCCCGGAAGGGAGCAGCGGCAGCAGAUGUUCGGUGUGCCGGGGUGUGGCUGGC